GUUUUUCAGACGCUGGUGCUGACUCAUCCCCUGAAAACAGAACUGACCCCUGCAGUGAAUAGGGGCACUCAGAUGGAGGUUGUGACCUCUCAGCCUGCAAAAACAGACCUGACCCCUGUACUAAGGAUGGCAAUCGACAUACAGACAGUUGUUGUGUCUCUGGAGCUAUGGAGUCUCAUGUGCAGCUGUGUGUCACCUGCUGCUCUGAUCAUUAGCCCCAUCAUUAUGGAUCUACUACUAUUUGUAUUAUCUGAAGUGUUAUUAUACUGCCACUCUCGCUGCUCUCAUGUCAUUACUAUAUGACACGCUGAUGAGACGAUGUUAGUGGGCCUCAUCCAGAAUGAUGACGACUGGGCCUAUAGAGAGGAGGUGGAACAGCUGGAGUACUGAUGCAGGAGCAACAACCUGAUCCUAAACGUCAAAAAACAAAAGAAAUCAUUGUUGACUUAAGGAAGAACCAGCCUGGCCACUCACCACUGCUGAUCAACAACACGGCAGUAAAGGUAGUGGGAAGCACAAAGUUCCUGGGGGUCCACAUCACAGAUACCCUAAACUGGACUGUAAACACUGGGUCCCUGGCAAAGCGUGUGCAGCAGUGUUUGCACUUUCUCUGGAGGAUCACACUUUCCCCCUCCCAUCCUCAUCACUUUUUACAGAAGCACUGUAGAGAGCAUUAUGACCAACUGCAUCUAUGGCUGCAGACUGGAAGUGCCUACAGAGAGUGGUUAGGACAGCGGAGAAGAUCACUGGGACUUCUC